rnacentral:rRNA from 1 species
AUUGAACGCUGGCGGCAUGCCUUACACAUGCAAGUCGAACGGCAGCACGGGUGCUUGCACCUGGUGGCGAGUGGCGAACGGGUGAGUAAUACAUCGGAACGUACCUUAUCGUUGGGGAUAACGCAGCGAAAGUUGCGCUAAUACCGCAUACGCCCUGAGGGGGAAAGCGGGGGACCGUAAGGCCUCGCGCGAUUAGAGCGGCCGAUGUCUGAUUAGCUUGUUGGUGAGGUAAAAGCUCACCAAGGCGAUGAUCAGUAGCUGGUCUGAGAGGACGAUCAGCCACACUGGGACUGAGACACGGCCCAGACUCCUACGGGAGGCAGCAGUGGGGAAUUUUGGACAAUGGGGGCAACCCUGAUCCAGCAAUGCCGCGUGAGUGAAGAAGGCCUUCGGGUUGUAAAGCUCUUUUGUCAGGGAAGAAACAGCAGCUCUAACACAGUCUGCGAAUGACGGUACCUGAAGAAUAAGCACCGGCUAACUACGUGCCAGCCGCCGCCGUAACAC